rnacentral:misc_RNA from 1 species
GAUGAAGAACGCAGCGAAAUGCGAUAAGUAAUGUGAAUUGCAGAAUUCAGUGAAUCAUCGAAUCUUUGAACGCACAUUGCGCCCUUUGGUAUUCCGAGGGGCAUGCCUGUUCGAGCGUCAUUACACACCUCAAGCUCUGCUUGGUAUUGGGUUCUCGUCCCGCGCGGACGUGCCCGAAACUCGUCGGCGGUGGUGCCUGGCUUCGAGCGUAGUUAUAACUUCGUUCGCUCUGGAGUCCUAGGUUCCGCCCGCCGGAUAAACUCUUUUCUCAAGGUUUGACCUCGGUUCAGGUAGGGAUACCCGCUGAACUUAAGCAUAUCCAUAAGCGGAGGA